CUCAGUCUCAUCAACCUGCACGACUGCUUCUUUAUCAGCCUGUACAUGGACGACCUCUCCUCCGGUACGAUCCCAAAGUCAUCACUGUACUCCUGCAUGCCUGCCGCCAUGAACUGCCACACCAGAGCACCUGCACCAGCUCCCCCCCUCCUCGCAGAUUCGUAGACGACGUCGAAGAUGGACUCGUAGAAGACGUCGCGGUGGGCGUGAUCGAAGUCCCUGCUCUUAUCUGACAGGCCAAACUCCGUGAACAGCACAGGUUUCUUGAGCUCCUCCUCGCCAUCCUCGAUGUGUGAGGUCAGCCACCCGGAGAUGUACUUCAUCUUCUCUUCGAGCCCUGCACCGACUUGCCUGCACAACCACAAGACGACUCGUUUGCUUUGCCUUGAGAGCGUUGCUCGAAGCAUUAACGGGUGUUUGAUGCUUACCACUGAUCAGGGUAGAUGUGGACGGAGGCGAAGUCUAUGUCUGAGACUUUGGAGUUUCUGAUGAAGUCGGAGCCAAGCGUGCCGAACCAUUGUCCGGGAUUCACCUUUAGCUUCUCUGGUGAGCUUGCAGGGCCGUAGAAUCCCUCCAGUCCUACUGUUAGGAGAUGGUUUUUGUCGAUCGAUUUCACGUACGCUGCCAAUUCUUCGAUCCAGUCCUGAACAAUUUAAAGAUUGCAAUUACUGAAAUCUCGAGUUAUUUUAUGAUGCUGACUGUAGUUUCGAUGGAAAUCAAAAUUCUUUGAUUCUGAAUUUUCGAUGUGUUUUUCCAUAGAACGUGAAGAACAGACUCACUUGGAGGGUGUCACCAGAUGGAUCAGACAUGCAUCGGGGUUCGUUCAUGAGUUCCCA
rnacentral:lncRNA from 1 species